rnacentral:rRNA from 1 species
CCUACGGGAGGCAGCAGUGGGGAAUAUUGGACAAUGGGGGGAACCCUGAUCCAGCGACGCCGCGUGAGUGAAGAAGUCUUUCGGUUUGUAAAGCUCUUUUCUCAGGGACGAAAGAAAUGACGGUACCUGACUAAGAAGCCCCGGCUAACUACGUGCCAGCAGCCGCGGUAAUACGUAGGGGGCAAGCGUUAUCCGGAUUUACUGGGUGUAAAGGGAGCGUAGACGGCGAUGCAAGUCUGAAGUGAAAGGCGGGGGCCCAACCUCCGGACUGCGUUGGAAACUGUAUGGCUUGAGUGCAGGAGAGGUAAGUGGAAUUCGUAGUGGAGCGGUGAAAUGCGUAGAGAGUAGGAGGAACACCAGUGGCGAAGGCGGCUUACUGGACUGUAACUGACGUUGAGGCUCGAAAGCGUGGGGAGCAAACAGGAUUAGAUACCCGUGGAGUC